AAUAGCUUCACUCCUGCAAGAAUGGUAACAGUACCAGACGAGGAAUGGCCUCCCAGGAAGACAUUUCAUGGCCCUGACCACAUGUCAGAAGCUUGCAGGAGAAAAUGGAGGAACUUAGACAGUGCUGGAUUCUCAGGAUGUGAGGGACUCAUACCAACCACAUCAACCUGCUGAGAGGAGAGACGCCUUCCCCCGCAGAAUUAGCCAGAUGCUUCGAAAGUUUCUGUUUAUUAUCUGGACUCAAGAUGAGCAAAGGUCACGUGGUUCCUUUUUGUAGCGCUGGAGAGAGAGGCUCGUGGACUCCAGCCAAGCGCUCUGCCUCUGGGCUGUCUCUAGCGCUCCGUAUGACUGGGACUCAAGAUCAUCUGACCUUGAACUCAUCCUAUAGUCCAGGCAAACCUUGAAUUUGUGAUCCUCCUGCCUCAAACUGGGGUAAAGGCUGUGCCACCUCGCUCAGCUUAAAGAUUCUGUCCAAGUUACGGCUUUCUCCCGCAGGAGCUCAAAAUAUGGGACCCAGGGUUGCAAACCUUAAGCCUGUGUUCCAUCACUGAGUGAACCCCUCUCCUGUCCCAGCUGCCAGUGUUCUGAUCGUUGCUGCAAGUCCUUCUAAGUCUAGAACAGUGAUGAGCCGUCUCAUCGAACCAUGUGGCCUGUAUCAAUAAUAUAUGUGCUCAAUAGUAUAUAUACUCUGACACU
rnacentral:lncRNA from 1 species